rnacentral:tRNA from 1 species
GCCUGACUAGCUCAGUCGGUAGAGCAUGAGACCCUUUAUCUCAGGGUCGUAGGUUCGAGCCCCACGUUGAGGG